rnacentral:rRNA from 1 species
AGCCAGACUCCUACGGGAGGCAGCAGUGGGGAAUAUUGCACAAUGGGGGAAACCCUGAUGCAGCGACGCCGCGUGAGCGAUGAAGUAUUUCGGUAUGUAAAGCUCUAUCAGCAGGGAAGAAGAUGACGGUACCUGACUAAGAAGCCCCGGCUAACUACGUGCCAGCAGCCGCGGUAAUACGUAGGGGGCAAGCGUUAUCCGGAUUUACUGGGUGUAAAGGGAGCGUAGACGGCGAUGCAAGCCAGAUGUGAAAGCCCGGGGCUCAACCCCGGGACUGCAUUUGGAACUGUGUGGCUGGAGUGUCGGAGAGGCAGGCGGAAUUCCUAGUGUAGCGGUGAAAUGCGUAGAUAUUAGGAGGAACACCAGUGGCGAAGGCGGCCUGCUGGACGAUGACUGACGUUGAGGCUCGAAAGCGUGGGGAGCAAACAGGAUUAGAUACCCCAGUACC